GUCCACGCCGUAAACGAUGUCUACUAGCUGUUCGUGGUCUUGUACCGUGAGUAGCGCAGCUAACGCAUUAAGUAGACCGCCUGGGAGUACGGUCGCAAGAUUAAACUCAAAUGAAUUGACGGGGCCCGCACAAGCGGUGGAGCAUGUGGUUUAAUUCGACGCAACGCGAAGAACCUUACCUACUCUUGACAUCUACAGAAGACUGCAGAGAUGCGGUUGUGCCUUCGGGAACUGUAAGACAGGUGCUGCAUGGCUGUCGU
rnacentral:rRNA from 1 species